rnacentral:rRNA from 1 species
GAUGAACGCUGACAGAAUGCUUAACACAUGCAAGUCAACUGUGGCGGACGGGUGAGUAACGCGUAAAGAACUUGCCUCACAGAUAGGGACAACAUUUGGAAACGAAUGCUAAUACCUGAUACUGUGAGAGAGCUUUGCGUCCCAUUAGCUCGUUGGAGAGGUAACUGCUCACCAAGGCGAGGAUGGGUAGCCGGCCUGAGAGGGUGAUCGGCCACAAGGGGACUUAGACACGGCCCUUACUCCUACGGGAGGCAGCAGUGGGGAAUAUGUGACAAUGGACCAAAGUCUGAUCCAGCAAUUCGGUGUUCACGAUGAAGUUUUCGGAAUGUAAAGUGCUUUCAGUUGGGAAGCGGUACCCACAGAAGAAGUGACGGCUAAAUACGUGCCAGCAGCCGCGGUAAUAC